ACUCCUACGGGAGGCAGCAGUAGGAGGUCUUCGACAUGGCGCAAGCCUGAUGGAGCAACACCGCGUGAGUGAAGAAGGGUUUCGGCUCGUAAAGCUCUGUUGUUAAAGAAGAACACGUAUGAGAGUAACUGUUCAUACGUUGACGGUAUUUAACCAGAAAGUCACGGCUAACUACGUGCCAGCAGCCGCGGUAAUACGUAGGUGGCAAGCGUUAUCCGGAUUUAUUGGGCGUAAAGAGAGUGCAGGCGGUUUUCUAAGUCUGAUGUGAAAGCCUUCGGCUUAACCGGAGAAGUGCAUCGGAAACUGGAUAACUUGAGUGCAGAAGAGGGUAGUGGAACUCCAUGUGUAGCGGUGGAAUGCGUAGAUAUAUGGAAGAACACCAGUGGCGAAGGCGGCUACCUGGUCUGCAACUGACGCUGAGACUCGAAAGCAUGGGUAGCGAACAGGAUUAGAUACCCUGGUAGGAUAGCG
rnacentral:rRNA from 1 species